GAUGAACGCUGGCGGCGUGCCUAACACAUGCAAGUCGAACGGAGUUUAACGCUGAUGAAGCUUCGGCAGAUUCUUGUUAAACUUAGUGGCGGACGGGUGAGUAACGCGUGGGUAACCUGCCUCAUACAGGGGGAUAGCAGUUGGAAACGACUGAUAACACCGCAUAAGCGCACGGUAUCGCAUGAUACAGUGUGAAAAUAUUUAUAGGUAUGAGAUGGACCCGCGUCUGAUUAGCUAGUUGGUGAGGUAACGGCCCACCAAGGCGACGAUCAGUAGCCGGCCUGAGAGGGCGGACGGCCACAUUGGGACUGAGACACGGCCCAAACUCCUACGGGAGGCAGCAGUGGGGGAUAUUGCACAAUGGGCGAAAGCCUGAUGCAGCGACGCCGCGUGAGUGAAGAAGUAUUUCGGUAUGUAAAGCUCUAUCAGCAGGGAAGAAAGACCUCGUAAGAGGGGAUGACGUAC
rnacentral:rRNA from 2 species